CCUACGGGAGGCAGCAGUGAGGAAUAUUGGUCAAUGGACGAGAGUCUGAACCAGCCAAGUAGCGUGAAGGAUGACUGCCCUAUGGGUUGUAAACUUCUUUUAUAUGGGAAUAAAACAGGGUAUGCAUACCCUCUUGUAUGUACCAUAUGAAUAAGGAUCGGCUAACUCCGUGCCAGCAGCCGCGGUAAUACGGAGGAUCCGAGCGUUAUCCGGAUUUAUUGGGUUUAAAGGGAGCGUAGGUGGAUUGUUAAGUCAGUUGUGAAAGUUUGCGGCGCAACCGUAAAAUUGCAGUUGAAACUGGCAGUCGUGAGUACAGUAGAGGUGGGCGGAAUUCGUGGUGUAGCGGUGAAAUGCUUAGAUAUCACGAAGAACUCCGAUUGCGAAGGCAGCUCACUGGACUGCAACUGACACUGAUGCUCGAAAGUGUGGGUAUCAAACAGGAUUAGAUACCCCAGUAGUC
rnacentral:rRNA from 1 species